AUCUGCCUGAGAGAUUUUUAAAGUCUGGUAGUAUUAACACCCACCUCUACCACACAAAAAGUUUCAAUGUGGCUUCGCCUAAAGAUAUGGACUUUAGAGAAAUUGCAACUUGGUGAAUCCAUUCUAAUACAGCAGAUGAAAAUACAAAAAUGAAUAAAACAGUCUGGUCAUAUGGAUAUAGAGUGAGAGAAGGGAGCAAAGAAUGACAUAAGUGAGUUAAAUUACACCCAGUGAGGGCUAUGUGGUUUAGCAUGUUGUUCUGUGGAUGGACCUACUUGAUAUUAUUGCUCUUUCUUUCUUUGAGGCUCAAAGGCCAAAGGAAAACAAUAGGUGUUAAGUAGCCCUUAUUUCAACGUGAGGACUACACCAGCUGUCCAUAAGUGUGCCAAACAAAAUAGAGUGUUCCCAGUCAAAUCUGAAUUUCAGAUAAACAACAAGUAAUUUUUUAAGGACUUUCAAAUGUACAGGACUUUCAAAAGGUGGUGUCUGAACACUUUUAGUGAGGCUUUGAACGUACAAAAGGGUAGAGGCUGAGGAGGCCAGGUGAUAGGAUUUGAAGCCACUUCCUAGAGUUUGGUGUCAUUCCUGCUGUCCCCUACCCCCAUGGGGGAGAGGAAGCUGUGCUUGCUUCUACAAAUGCUUCCUGAGAAAGGCCCAAAGAACUUGCAGGCUGGAGAUAGAGGGAGCAGGCGGUGUUUCAUGCCUGGAAGACUCAAAUUAAAGAUGGCGGGAGCCGUUGCCUAGCAGCGAGCAAGGGGGAGAGGCUGCACUGAAAUCAAGCUGUGCCUCCACGGAAGGCAGGACAGAGGGGCAUACUUCCCAUGAACGAGACAUGGGUCGCCUGGCAGAGAUGAGGCCUGUAGCUUACUUGAAAAUGAACUCCACUCAGGAGGGCUUCCUUCCAGAUGAAGAGAAUUUGGCAGAAUUGUAGGUGCUGAGGGGUUUGCUGUAAGAUACCACCUGGAGGAGAACUGAGGGAGGUAGAAGCUGAUGUUCCCAGAGAAGAACUUUCUGUGGGAUUUGUGAAAGAACCAUAUAAAGGCCCAGGAGCACCGGUGGAGAUCAUUCAUUCGUUCCUUAUGAAAGAUUUAUACUGCAUGCUAGGUACGCACUGUUCUCGGUGCUUAGGAUGCAUCAGAGAACACAGCAGACACAGAUCCUUGCUCUUAAGGAGCGAAGGAGUGGCAGAUCGUGAACUAAACCUGAUAAAUACAUAAUAAAGAAUGUUAGAAAGUAACAAUGGUUAUGCUGUUUUUCAGAGCAGAGUCAGGGCCUUGAAAGGGCUAUGGGAGGAGGGCUGCAGGUAUUAAUUAGAGAGGUAGGUGUUGAUGGGAGUGCUCAGGGCUCCUUAUGAAACGCUGCGUUAUUUCAGGUGAUAUGUCAAGUGGGCGUGCGUCUAUUUCAUUUAAAAUUACCAGGAAUAAGUUAAUGCAUACUACCCAAUGGUCAUAUGUCAUUCUUAAACAUCUUUUCAAUUGGCCAAAAGAGAGCACAAUAAUAGUAAAUAGCAAAAUUCCUCAGUCAGACUGUUAUUUAUUACAGAGAAAGCUAAUGGGGAGUCUAAAAAAACAGAAUCUGGGAAAAAUGUCAAUGUCAGUUUUUCCGCUUUGUUCCUUUGCCUACCUGGCUCCUGGCUAAGGUGGCGUCAGCAGGGACAAGAGUAGAGACGGAAAGAGGCUGAAAUGAAGGGUUAUUUUCUAUUGGAAACAGAAGAGAACUAAGAGGGAGGAAAGAAUGACCCAGAAAGUAGGGGAGGGUGACAGUGAAAAGACCAAAAUUUCUAAAGGCAGGUUUGAGUGAGACUUUAAAAGAAAUUUAAACAGGGAAAAGAGUAUAUUUAAAGUAUUUAAAUAGCUUUUAGUUUGUCAAAAUAGUACUUCCCUGAAUAGGAUUCUGAGCCAAGGCUGACUUCAAAGUUAGGGAGCCAAUUCAGUUUAUGCAGGUCACCAAAGGUCAUGUUCAUGGCAACGUGGUUUGAAGGAGUUGAAAAUCACCAGGGGAAUGUGUAAACAAAAUGUAGCCUAUACCAUCAACAACAAUGGACUAAGUUUACAGGUAGCAACAUGGAUAGAUUUCAAAAUAUGGGUGACAUGAAAAAUGGAAAAUAAUUAAUAGCAUCACACCAUGAAUACAAUCUAAAACACACACAUGCACACACAGACACACACACAAAACAACUACUCUCUAUAUUUAUGCUACAUGAUGUCUGUAGGGACAUAUUGAAUGCAGAUACAAAGGCUAAAUAAUAAAUAUACUAGAGUGGUUGGCAAGGGAAGGAGGGGAAUUAAGAGUGGAAAUGGGGAAGGAACAACCCUGAACAGCCGCUGACAUUGUCUCACGUCACAAUAUGUGGGAAGCGUCACUGAUCACCUCUCAUCAGGCAUCCCUUUUCCUGGUGCGCAAGGAGGGGCUGUAGGGAGGAUCAGAGGGGCUCUACAAGGCACUGUCAGACCCUAGAUGCCUGCAACUGAUGAAAGCCUUAGGUUUCUCCUGGCCAUCUUCCUAAGUUUAUUCUACAGAUUCAGACAAUGCAUCAUCGACCUCAGCAGUAGGAGCGGAGCCAAGCAAGCUGCAAUCUAAUAUGGAAAUGUGUCCUGGCCACGAUGAGGAUCUAAUUCAAACAAGAUUGUUAGGAAGAGUUAUUUCUUCAGCUCGAUUGAAAAUUCCUAUCUGCCCAAGAAUUCGUGUUCUGAUUUGGAAAGCUCUGCUUCUGCUGGCUGGAUGGAGGAAGAGGACACGUGGCGGGCAGGACAGGCUUGCUUUCACGUUCCACGUGAUUUUCCUUCUGGGUCUGGAGACCAGUUUCCUAGUGACCAUACAUUUGUUAGAACGCUGCUUGCUUCGACUGCCCCAUACCAAUUGCUUCGUCUCUCCUGUCAGAAUUCUGAAAGCAGAGAGCACUCCAGAAUUUAAUCCACGGCCAAACGCCAUAUCCAGAAGCACGUUAUGGAAGGGCCCUAAUUUUUUUGAUUGCCACUUAAUUUGUUAACUAGCCAGUCUCUCUCAUCUUCCUUCUCCUGGACUCUGCUGCUUCUGAGUCUGGAGUUAUUAGAGUUUCUGUGGGGAAACUCACCUGGACACAGGAAGUUCUCUCUUUUAUCUGAAGUGGCUGUAGGUUUUUCAGUUGUAUUUUCCCUCUCUCUGUUAUAUAUUUGAGAAAUUUUUCUCUGUGCUGGUCUGCUGGUGCUGUACUUUCCAGUGCUGCUGUGUAUUUAAUUUUUUAAUCUCUCCCUGCAUUUUAAUAGAAUUUUGGGAGAGAGUGGUGGCCGCGCAUGACCUCAGCUGUCUUGAACUAGAAGUCUUCCUCUAUUCUAUUUUACAGGACUUAUUUCUAGCUCAAUUAUAACUAUACCUGUACUUAACAGAACAGAAUUUAGCUGCAGCACUGUCCGCACUUGCACCCAGUGGCCUGCAAACACAUGUAUAAUGAAAUAGGAUUAAUCGCAUAAAAUACUAGGGCUCUGUACUUAGGAUGUGUAACGGUGGCCCUGCCCAUCCAUUCCACAUUUCCUAACUCAACGUUGAGGAAAAUCCUACUUUUUGUCUAAGCUUAUUAUGGGGUAUGAGGCGCAUUAAGAAGAGUUAUCCAAUUCUUGUCUCUUCUUUAUUUUUGAAUAUGGUUUAAGUAACUUCUAUUAAUUUCUUUUGUAUUUUAGUAGGAAAUUGUUAUUAAAAAAUCCACGAAAGCUUAUGGUGCUAAUAGCCUUCUUAAGAAUUCUUUUGUGCAAUGAACAUCACACGUUAUUCUCCAGACAGUCAUUGAGUCUAUGGCUGAAAAAUACUGAGCCUUUUGCUUAAUGCUAGCAUUUAUUGCAUCUUUUUCUAAAACAUCAUUAUCGUCGGCCCAAAGCUAAUUUUUCAAGUGAAGGAAUGUGUUGUAAAGAUAAAGAGGAGAAAUGCAAAUAUUUUCUUACUACAACUUGCUAAUUUGCAAUAGAAUUGCAUUAGAACAGAAAAUUCCUAAAUAUGUAUUUGUGAAUAUCAGUUACAGUACUCGGAAUCUUGUACUAUGAUCACAUGACAAAUCUAUUUCUGUUUUAUUACCAUGACAAUUAACCACUUAGAGAUUUAUUCUGUUUUUGUCCUUCUUUUCCAUAUUUUGUCAGGUGGAUGGAAGUUGCUCAGUGUAAACCUAGAAUUCAAAUAUCUGACCGAGAGAAGAAAUGCUGUGCUUUAAAUUGGCCAGCGUGGCAAGGCAGAGACGUCCUAGAGGGUUACAGAUGAUAUCAAUCACUUGCUAGACUCCUGACUAAUUUAAUCUCCUUCUUGCCAUGUUGUCCCAUCAGCCUAACACUGCAUGACCUGUCAGAGUCUCUGCCACAGUGUGACUGGGCUAGAGAUGAAACAAUUUGUUCAGCCGAACUGAUGUGGCUACCCUCUGAGUCAGGUUUUGUAAUAACUCAGCUGGGCUUGGUUGAAGUUACUUUUAUUAUGGUCUAUAAGGAAGAUGUUUGAUUAGCAAAUUAGAGGUAGCAUGAAUUCAGCACCUAUUCUGGGUCAGCCACUGUUUUCAGCAUUUUACACGAUUAUCUCAUUUAAUCCCCGUGUCAGCGCUAUGAGGCAGGUGCUACCAUUAGGUGAAAUAUACAAAUGAGAAAACUGAGGGCCAGAGAGAGGAAGUCACCUGCCCAAGGUAACACAGAUGGAAAGCAAGGGAGCCAAGAUCUGCACCCACGUGGUGUGAAUCCAGAGUCCAUGCUUAUAUAACCCCUUACUUUACAACAAUAACACAGUUUUUGUUUAGAAUUCUAGGACUAUGUAUUAACUAUAUAUGCAUACAUAAAUAUAAUUAACAGCCUGAAUAACAAAUGAAUUGUAUCUUAUUUAUUAAUUGAAGAAUAUGUAUACCUAAAUAUUUUAUUGAACUAAUUCAGCUUGUUUAUAGGCUUGAGAGAAAAUAAAGCACUGUUUCUAUUAAACUAUCUGUAAGUCAAAUAUUUUCUUAGCUUAUAUUAACUUUUCCCUUCUCAGACUGAAUAUAUUGACUUUUAAUCAGUGUUCAUACCGUCUAAUCUGACUUAAAGAAUAGCUUCUCUGUCUCUUUAAACUCCUGGGUUGUCGCUCUACCUUUCUGGCCCUGAAUCCCACCUGUAAGACUUGGACUGUCUGCCUUUUCUCAUCUGUUCCAGCCCUGGACCCAGAGGCAGACCUAGGACCCAGUGGAGCCUGGAGCUCCAUGUGAUUGGCAUGGGGCAUGGGGCAGAAGAUCUUUACCAAAAAAAAAAAUGCAAAGUGAAAAAUACAAAAUUAAGUUCAAAAUGAAUAUUUACUUAAGAUGAGAAAAGAAAUCACAACACAUUACAGAUUUUUAAAAAACUGGAAAAUACUACAAACAUUAAGAAAUCCAAAAAUACACGCACAUGCGCACACACAUGCAGAUAUUAUAUUUUUAGUAGUUAACUCGUUAAGAAUUUAAAAAUACCUUUUUCUCCCCUACAUUUUUUGGCUCCAUGAUCAUUGAUCAUUUUUUCAUAUAACAACAAUUUGGUCAUACAAUUUUUAAUAGAGUAGAAAGCUAAGCCAGUCUUUCUUCUACCAUAGUUGAUCACAAUAUCACUUUUGUUUAAUGGCCCAUAAUUUUGAUCCAAAUUUUCUCUGUGUGUGUGUGUUUACAAGUGAAUUUAAUGAUUAGCAAAGAAGAUAUACUUCACAUAGGUGCAAGUCAAGAUUUUGUAAUUUCAUACUUGCUUUAUUGAACAUUCCAAAAUGUCUUUGCAAAUGGCAGUUAAAAUGGAUUAUUUUAGCUUUAUCAAAAGCAUCAUUGCAUCAAAAAGGGAGGAAAAUGUAUGGUGCAUUUACACUUGGAUAUGCUGCCCUAUCAGGUAAAUUCCUGACAGGAGAGAACUUCUGUUUGGCCAGACCUGGAUGAGACCAAAAGUCCCACUUACGAUUAUACACAUCUGACAAUUGGGAGGAAUUCCACUGACCAUCUUCUGACUUCUUAUUUUUCCCCCAUUAGCAACAAUUCUGGGUAAUAUAGGCCACACUCUAUGGUAACAUGACUUAUGGUGCUGCCCCUUCUCUCUCAGUUUAGGGUUAAGUCAGCAAUUACGUAGUUGGACUAUUCCAGGAAGCCAUUGCUGCACCUCAAGAGGCAGCAAUAGUAUGAAAUGACUAAGAACCACAUGAAUAUAACCCAGUAACCUCAGACUAAAUGCGUCCCCAAGUUGACACCCCUUAGCCAAGUCUCAAAAGUUUCAUCUAUAAGGAGUGGCCAUGUGAGAGAGAGAAAGGGAGAGGGGCAGAGGGCCAAAGGCAGAGGCCCAACUUGAGUCUUUGCACACACUCUGGACCCAACUCCAGGUGACUGGGGCCCAGAAUUCCCUUCUUGAAUGGCUUUGAGGCUGCUUCUUGCACUGCCGACCUGCUGGGUCAGUCCUCACAGUGUGGACCAUGCUUACUGAGGCUCAGGUGAUGGCCAAGCAGAGUGAUGGGUGGGAAGAAAGGGGAGACAGGCUAGUGCCUGGGGGCCGGCUUUCCCCACACUUCCAGGGGCCAAAGAGAAACUCCAAGGAGUCAGAUUAUUCUCAAUUUGAGCUAGGUCUUCCCGUUCAUUGCGUAGGCAUGUUUGUCAAGAGAGGAAGACGGGACAUAUUUUAUUUAAUAGUUAGCUAGAUUUAUAAGUUAGAUGUUCCCUAAUGAAUGUACAAUACUCAUAAGAACUAAUAAUGAAAAACUUGUCAAAUGUUGAAACAAGCAAAAAAAUUUAAAUCUGGACAUCCAGUUUAGGAAUUCUGCUGUGCUGAGAAAGUGCACCAGGACGUCUGUCUGCUAAAAGUCUUUGGACUCUGGGAAGAAGAAUUGAAGGGACUUUGGUGGUAAUAUUCAAGAUUCCCAAGAUCCCCAAGUGUGUGGGACAACAAAUGCUACCCCAACUUCUGAAGAAUGUGCCCAAGAAAGCAGGACACAGACUAUGGGGAGUGAGCAAGGAGAAGCACAUGUCAUUGUUCCCAAUGGUAGGUGCUCAGUCACCAUAGCUAAGACCAAUAAGUAGUACACCCUGCUGCCACUCUGAGGAAUGGAGCCACCACAGAAAUCUCACAAAGCAGAGCCACUUUUGGUUGGGGGUGGAGGGGUCAGGCAGUCCAUAGGUUUAUGAUCCCAUAGCCAGAAUCUGCAUAUUAGUAAAAAGAAAUCAUUCUUGAAUGACAGAAACUUAUUCUCUUUGGGAAGAGAGGAACAGCAACACUAAAGAGAACGGUGAGUUUUUAUUACACCGCUGUUUAAAAUUCUAAGCACUAUUAUUAUUGUUAUAUAACACUUAACAGAACACUAUAAUUAGCACACAUUAUUAAGAAUAUAAUCAUGUAAACAAUCAGAUCCCGCCUCACUACUCUUCAGCUGUUGUCAAGUAACUGCCAUUGGUCCCCUCUUAAUUGAACCCUCAUUCUGUGCCCUACGUAAGCUGGGACAGAAGGAGUUUGGAGUCCGCAGUCUUAAAUCCUAAGAGGUUGUCCUGAAUGUCUGGGUUCUAGGACAAUCAGGGCAGCAAGCCUUGCAGAUGAUGGGGACUUCCCCCUCUGGUCUUCUCUUUCUCUCACUGGCUCUUGUCCGUUAUAUCCAUCCACGCAGCCCCAAUCUCUCUGUUAUAGGAGGAAUGGGCCUUGGCGUUUUGUUCAGUUCUCAGAUCCACAUGGUUUUCUGCCCCACAUUGCUCAGGAAAAGCUGGAAGGGAGAGAUCAGAGCCCACUAGGACUCCUCAGUGUGACUCCCUCCUAAUGAUCCUUUUCCAAUCAGAAGGGAGUAAUUUUCCUCCACCUCAUUAUUUUCCUGCCUAGCUUUCUGCCCUUUGAUGCUGAGUUUUUCCAUCCAUUAAGAAGCAGCUAGGAAAGUGUACUCACCAGCACGUUGUACUCAUCGUGUAGUUUUACAGCCUGCCCUCUGACCAACCUUUUGACAUAAGUUGUUUCUUAAAGGGGCAAUGCCUGCUUUUUCUAAAUGUAGUAAAAGACAUUAAAAGAGAUUCUACUUCCUUCUGGGGUCCACUGGAGAAAAUAAUGCACACAAUAUACCGUUACUUUUUACUCAGGCAGUGGGAUGCCUUUUUGUACUAUAUGUCACAUUCCAUGUGGUGGCCUGGAUACUUGCUAUUCAGAAACCAGACCAGAAAUUAGUAUUUCAAACUGAUACUUCACACAAAUUAGACUCAUUCUCACCCUUUACAACAGGAAUAGCACUUGGUAAACACAUUUCUCAAUACAAUGUGAUUCAGUUAAACAUUUAUUGAGCACCUGCUGAGUGCAGGACACUGUUGAGUGCUAUAUUGAGUACCAUAUGAGUCACCAAUAUGACCAGGAUUUACAGUUUGAGAGAGUGUAUGGCUUUACAUAGACAUAUAUGGAAUUUUUGAAGUUCAUAAAGUGAAUAAAUACAAUAUGAGCACACGAUGGAGUAAAUAUCCCAGAAAGUCAGAAGAGGGAUGGGCAAUGCGUGUUCAGAUUGGGGAGGAUAAAGGGAAUCCAUAACUCACAUUGUCUUUCUCAUGUUUUCUUUUCUUCUAAGGUUUUCUUAACCAAUGUCUUUUCCCAGCUCUAAUAAUGUCGUGCAAACAUGUCAGUGGCUCCUCAGUCUCCUACCAGGAUGUACCAUUUUCCAUGGUCUAGAGUCUAUAUUCAAAUUGAUAGGUUUACAAACAUGUUUAGGUUUGUAGCAAAACUUUUGCAGAAAUAUAGUCCUUCUUUAAAACUCACGAAACACAAAUAUUAUGGUACAAUGUUUCUAGGAAAUACUCGAGUCAUACUAGUCUCAUCCUUAAAGGAAGAUUUUGCCAUUACUUUAUGAAAAUCAUUAAACUUAGACAUUACCAGGACUUUUGGAAGCUGGUUUUUGAAAGGCCUGGGUGUCAUUUAAAUUCUGCCACUUGCUAACAGUGUGGGUUUGGGUGAGUUACCUAAUUUCUCUGCUCUUCCAUGUCCUAGACUAGUAAUUACAUUUAUUUGCUGCAAUAUGUCAAAAGGAUUAUUGAGCUAAUCCACGUAAAAUAACCCUUAAAGGUAUCAUUUAGACGGAAGGUAUCAUUACCGUAACAAGUUUUGAAAUAAACUCUUGGGUAUGCUUUGGUUUCUUUUGUUCUAGUCGUUACCAGUUAUCAAAUUAUGUUUAUAAUUUUCUUCACCAAUCUUUGUAGAAUGUUUCUUUUCUAAUUACUCCACUUUUUCCAGCUUAGGAUCAAAACACAGAAGACUUCCACAGAGAGGUGCACCUUUAUGUCAGUUUGAGAAUACUUGGGGGUUAUCUCCCUCAGGUUGUUGCUCUCUUUUCUAAGUGAGAAUAUCACUGAUACAAAUCAUAGGCAAGGCUUAUUGCCUGUCUGUAUUCUCAGCUCCCGUCUUCCUUCCUCCUCAACCUACCACCCCUCCUGUCUACAACAGAGCAAGAAGGUGCAGGUGCCAAAUAUAAAGCUGAAAAGCUAAGACUCUGUCACUAAUUUUUCUUCUGAAUCAUAGAUUUCCCUUGUCAGUUUCACUUUGAAAGCGGCAGUGAAAAAGAAUCUGGCAACACUUACAGAAGGCAACGUAGUGACUUAACCACAGACUUCAUCAUGAUUGAUGAAGAGGUCCUUUCCAGGACAAAUUCUGGAAGAAAAGUGGUUUGAGUUGUCUGGUCUAUUCAACCAGCCUUCAUGGUGGAAAUGGCCAAGGAAGAAAAGUAGUUGUCCACUACAAAACGCACUCCAUUGCGAUGGUUCAUGAGACACAAGAUGAAUGACAGGUGAAAAAACACACGUGAAAGACAUAUUCUCUGUUCUUUAGGCUUAUUGUUCUCUUCUAGGCCUGAGACAUGGAGUGCAAUUAUUGCGUUCAUUUCUCAUCUAGACUUAUGCAAGUUUGUAUCUCAUUCAUAAAGAACUUGAACUCCUUAAUGAAGGUGUGAAAUUUAUCCAUGAAACAAGAACUACACAUCAUUCUGGCAGGAUAAUUGAAAAGAGUGUUUAACCUCUGGAUGAUUCUUUUAUGUCAACCUUCUUAAUAAAUCAAAUAGGUGUGUGUGUGUGUUUCUUCUCCUUCAUCUUCAAAGGAAAAUCCGUGAAGAGAAGAGGGCAAUUCAGAACUAGGAAAAAUAAGAGUCUUGGCUAGUGUUGGAGAUUGAAUGCUUUUGGUUUUUCUCCAUCACUAAAUCUCUGUGUAACAGUAAGAAUAUAGAUUUUAAAAAUAUAUCUGUUCAAUAUGAGGAAAAUAGAAAUAAACCAAACCUUUAAUUCCAUAGUUUGAAAGCCAUCGCUUCACACUUUGUUUAGAUCAAGUGCCCUCUGACAGGACAUGCUGGACCAUUCUGUGAGUGAUUCAGUGGAAUGACCAGAAACCUAAAAUUGAAGCCAUAUGGAAACUCACUGCGCAUAUUAAAUUGUGUGUAGCAGUGUUAACAGCAUCUUGAUUUGUGGCUGCAAGUAAUAAAUGAAUUAUAUUAAUUUUGUAGCUGCAAGCUAAUUCUCCAGAAUUACUUUUUAAUAACCAAGCAUCAUGUUCGCUGGUAAGAUUUAAAUACAUUUAGGAACAAAUUUGUAGACUUUUAAGUAAUGCUAGAUUAUCAUUUUGAAAGCUUAAGAGUUCAUUUACUACCAUUUCCCCUAACACUAAAUUUUUAGGGGGAACAUGAUUUUGCUCAAACUGGAUAACUCCCUUGAUAAAUAAUGGCUUUGUUACUACCCGGCAGCAGUCGCCUUCCUAGUACUGUCAGGUGAGAACUGAACUGUUGCAAGUAUUUUUUCCCCUAUUUUGUAGGUGAUUUGUCUUUAUCAUAUAACUCAGCAUUUUCUCUCCCCUGCUGGAUUGAAACUAAUCAUGCUUUAAUAUCAGUUCAAAACUUUGAAAAUUGUCGUUGAUUUUCUUAAGCGAGGCUUUGAGUUUGGUGGUGGAGAGUGUGGGUUCUGGGGGAAGACUCCCUCGAAUGGAAUUUUCAUCCCACUGCUUAUCAACUGUAGGACCCUGGGCUAAUUCCUGCGCCUCAGUUUCCUGAGGGGGCUAAUAAUAGUAAGUACCCCACAGGUGGUUGGGAUGAUUAAAUGAGAAAGUACACGUGAAGCACUUGGAUGAGACCUGUCUCGAAGAAGCCUCAUUAAAUGUGAGCUACCAUAAUUCUCCCAGGGAGGACGAGGUUCAUGGGGAGACUGUGAGGUUUCAGGUCGAUCCGAUCUGGGCUGAAACCCAGAUCAACCAUCUAUUGCUCUUGGUCGGUAAAUGAGCUUGAACAAGUGGUCUCACUGCUCUGAACCUCAAUCUUGUCUGUAAAAUGGAAUUUUCAUACCAACCCCAACUCCUUGCACUGCUGGGAGGCAUACAUGAGAUGAGAUGUGAAGAAGUAUAACAUAGUGCUAGGCAUGUAAUAGUUUCAAUAAAUAUUUUUUUCCUUUCUCUUCCACAGAAAUUAGCCUCAUCUCUAUUAUUUUUGGUUGGGGUGUCGGUUGCAGCUAAAUCGGAUGGCAUAUUUCCCCCAACUUCUUAGGCUUCAUGUCAAAGGGGACUUCUGACAAUAGGGAAUAGUGGUAUGAAAAAUCUACACUCACAGAUAAUAUGCAGUCGUCCCUCGAUAUCCGCUGGGGAUUGGUUCUAGGACCCUCGCAGAUACCGAAAUCCGAGGAUACUCAAGUCCCUUGAUAAAAUUGCAUCAUAUUGCAUAUAACCUAUGCACAUCCUCCCAUAUACUUUAAAUCAUCUCUGGAUUACUUAUAAUACCCAAUACAAUGUAAAUGCUAUGUAAAUAGUUGUUACACUGUAUUGUUUAGGGAAUAAUGGCAAGAACAAAAAGUCUGUACAUGAUCAGUACAGACGCAACCAUCGUAGGGCUUUUGAUCCUCCAUUGGGUGAAUCUGUGGAUGCAGAACCUGCAGAUAGGGAGGGCCGACUGUAAUGUGUUUAUAUAUGGACUUUAAAAUAUAUUGUAUUUUUUGGCUACAGAUCUUUUCCUAAUUAUAUUUGAUAUCAGAUAAUAUUAAAAUUAGUUGGCCUGUCCUGAAUAAACAAAGGCUGGCAAUGAAAGGAGGAGAUGGAAAAGAGAAAACUAGCUUUUUAAUAAAAAAAUAUUGUUAUGGGUAAUCUGCAUGUGAUUAAUUGGAAUUGUAUCACCAAAAAUGUUCAACUCCUUCACCAAUAAUAAUGAUAAUCAUCAAGUGCCCAGCACUCACUAUGUGUCAGACACGUUGACUGAUUUACGUACAAUAUCUAAUUUAAUCUUCCCCUAAAUGCUAUCAGCUAAUUGUCAUGGAUCUCACAAUCGCAAAGAAGGAUGUUGAUGAUUAGAGAGGUUAAAAAAAUCACUCCGGUCACUUCCCAAAUUGAUUGUUUAGCUUAAGUGACGGGAAGGAGUAGAGUGGUCAGUUUUGGCCUUUUCUUGUCGCUGUAUCUGAUUUUGUGACACGAAACUUUACAACGAAGAACUUUUACAAACUUUACAACAAUAUUAUCCCAAAAUCUUGCAAUUAGCAACCAUAUUUUAAUUUGUCUGCAAGGUCCUUAACAAUCCUAUCCAGAAAUCAAAGGCCUAGUUUGGUACAGCUAUGGUACAGCUCCUGCAGUAAUUCUGAGAGGAAUCUGGGAUAAUAACUCUAAAUACAAACAGAGAACUUUCCUCUAAUUUAACCCUGAAAGGAGCUAUAGUCAGAGAAACCCUAAUUAUUAGCACCCUGGCCUUACUCCUCUUUUUUUUCAUGCCCCACACUCUGAGUUUGAGCCCAUCUAUGCCCCAAGUCUACAAGUACAGCUCAGACCUCUCUUUUGAGCUCCAGACUUAGAGCGAUGCCAUUGGACCACCUACUACAUAACUCGCCUAUGACUGUCCACAAGAAGCUUAAAAACUGAGGGCAUCAUAACUUCCCCAUCCCCAGUCUCCCUGAUCCAAGCUGCAGACGUAUAACUGUUCUUCAGCCUCUCCUUUCUUCCUCAGUUUCCAGAUCCAUCAGUAUGCACUAUGAUUUCUCUCUAUUCGUCAUCUCUUGGGCCUCUCCCCUGCUUUCUAUCCCACGUCAUCUUUCACUGGAGCUAUUUCUUGAUCAGCUCCCCAGGUUCCGGGUGCACUUCUCACUUUGCCAUGACAGAAAUACUUCUAAAAUGCAGAUCUGCUGAUGUAUUCCUCUGUGUAAGAUCCUUUAGCAGACUCCCCUCCAGUCCCACAAGGCUUUCCUUGGUGUGGCCUUGGCUAACUAAUGCAGGCUCACUUGAGGCAAAUCCCUCCUUACUCCAAACUGAACUUGUAAUUCUGAAAGUGAUUUGUACCUUCUCCUCUCUAGAUGAGUGUUUCUGCCUGAAACUCCCUUCUGUUAGAGUCUUGGGGGGGUUCCCAAGAAGUAAUCUCCCUUUCCCCUUUAAAUCCAAUUUCUUAAUAAGAUAAUAAAUAAGGCAGAUAGAAGUGAAAGAUCAGCUUUAUAAUUGAUAAAGUUAAGGUCAGAGAAUGUUGCUUAGAGUGCGGGCUAAAUGAGCUUGCUAACUCAACCCCAGAAAUGAACAGACUGUUCCCAAUAACCACAGAAGACCUGGGACCGCUGCAGGCCCCCUGCAGUUCCUUAACUUGGAACUCUUGGGCACACUCAAGAGCAGUCUGGCUGGAAAAGAGGAGCUGAGCCAAGCAUUCCCAAUGUCUUUUCCAAUAUCUUCCAAUCAGAUGAAGGCAUUCCUUCCCUAGGGAAAGGGUUUAGGAGGUACCCAGAGGCCAAGAAUGUCACACCUCCAUCUGGAUGGAAACAGCAGGAGAAGGGCAGAAGCAUUCCCACCUUACACCUUCUCACACUGGCUCACCUGAAAUGUUUCUAAUGGCUGUGGCCCAGCUCAAGGGUCUCUUCCGGGAAACUCCUCAUCCUGCCCUCUCUGUGGUCCUGCCUCUAUCUGUGUCCACUCCACUAAAGCCUUUGAUUUACUAAUUUAGAUUUAUCUGUAUGUCUGUCUUCUGUC